rnacentral:ncRNA from 2 species
GGUCACGAGACCCGGUGACAAGCGCUGGCUAGCCGGGCAGCAACCCUCCGACCGCGGUGGGGUGCUCCAGCUGACGACCCGGCCCCGUCCGCCGGACGGGGCAAGAGCGGCCC